rnacentral:misc_RNA from 1 species
UUACACUUGUAAAUUGUAGGUUACGUUUAUCUUUCCAUCUAUUUUUAAAUAAAAUUAGACUAUUGGAUCUUCAAAAUCUUAAUAAGAUGAUCAAUAUUAUUUUAUAUUAGAAUAGAUGUUUACCUCUCUAUUCCUGGCUAUAACUGUCAAUAUAUGCCAAUAUUACUUAAACAAUUGGAUAGAAUGAAAGCUGUGAGAAGUCAGUAUAUUUUCAUGAAGCUGCCAGCAAGAUUAUUUUAG